rnacentral:rRNA from 1 species
UACGUAGGGGGCAAGCGUUGUCCGGAAUCAUUGGGCGUAAAGCGCGUGUAGGCGGCUAGGUAAGUCUGCUCUGAAAGCCCGGGGCUCAACCCCGGGAGGCGGGUGGAUACUGUCUAGCUCGAGUCCGGAAGAGGAGUGUGGAAUUCCUGGUGUAGCGGUGAAAUGCGCAGAUAUCAGGAGGAACACCAAUGGCGAAGGCAGCACUCUGGGACGUGACUGACGCUGAGACGCGAAAGCGUGGGGGGCAAACAGG